ACAUGGGAACUCUAUUCUUCCUUCAGCCUUUCAGCCUAUUCUGAGUUAUUUUGAGAGGCAACUACCAGAAUCAACAUGUGUGCCAUUUUUGAAGUCACACCCUAAGUUCCAGAACUCACGGUCCUUUCUAAACUUCCUCUUUCUCAAAGGUGUCUAUCUCUCACUGUCCUCAUGCUGGUAUUCUGCAUCAGGCUCCAGACUCUCAGACAGUAACCUGAGGUGGGUGUGGCAGGUGGAGAUGAGACUGACCGUGGGGUCUGUUCUUCCCAGAGACACAGUCUGAUUCUGCCUGGAGAAAGAUGCUGGCUGGAAUCCUUGGCUUUGUGCUUCGGUUCAUCUUCCUUGUAGUGGGCAUCUCUGUGCACAUGAGGAGCAAGAAAGUUCAAUGAAGAUUUUUAAGUACAGGUAGUAUUCCUGCUUUGUUUUUCUUGAGGGGAUUGCAAACAAAUGUAAGUCCUUUCGUUGCAUUGUGACUCUGAGGCACCUGCUGGGGAAGAGAGUCUCGGGCUGAACUUCUUCAACCUCAGCCCUUGGGUUCCUGAUCUGACCAGAAAGACUAUAUGUGCUUUGCAACAAGUAUGUUUCUGUUUCUUCAGUCCCAGAGGCUGGCUCUGGGAUAGACCCUCAACCUCCCAAGAGGAUGCUACUGCCAAGUACUUGCUCUGAAACUACUUCCUAGAGUUCUUCUCUGUGAUUCCAUGCACAGUUUCUCUCAUGGGGCCUCCAACCAAGUUCCCUUCUCCUUAGCUCAAUAAUUAAUAAAAUCCAGUGUCAUUGUCUCUUUUCUCUUAAGAACAUGAACUAAGUCAC
rnacentral:lncRNA from 1 species